GAUGAACGCUGGCGGCGUGCCUAAUACAUGCAAGUCGAGCGAACGGACGAGAAGCUUGCUUCUCUGAUGUUAGCGGCGGACGGGUGAGUAACACGUGGAUAACCUACCUAUAAGACUGGGAUAACUUCGGGAAACCGGAGCUAAUACCGGAUAAUAUUUUGAACCGCAUGGUUCAAAAGUGAAAGACGGUCUUGCUGUCACUUAUAGAUGGAUCCGCGCUGCAUUAGCUAGUUGGUAAGGUAACGGCUUACCAAGGCAACGAUGCAUAGCCGACCUGAGAGGGUGAUCGGCCACACUGGAACUGAGACACGGUCCAGACUCCUACGGGAGGCAGCAGUAGGGAAUCUUCCGCAAUGGGCGAAAGCCUGACGGAGCAACGCCGCGUGAGUGAUGAAGGUCUUCGGAUCGUAAAACUCUGUUAUUAGGGAAGAACAUAUGUGUAAGUAACUGUGCACAUCUUGACGGUACCUAAUCAGAAAGCCACGGCUAACUACGUGCCAGCAGCCGCGGUAAUACGUAGGUGGGCAAGCGUAUCCGGAAAUAUUGGGCGUAAAGCGCGCGUAGGCGGUUUUUUAGUCUGAUGUGAAAGCCCACGGCUCAUCCGUGGAGGGUCAUUGGAAACUGGAAAACUUGAGUGCAGAAGAGGAAAGUGGAAUUCCAUGUGUAGCGGUGAAAUGCGCAGAGAUAUGGAGGAACACCAGUGGCGAAGGCGACUUUCUGGUCUGUAACUGACGCUGAUGUGCGAAAGCGUGGGGAUCAAACAGGAUUAGAUACCCUGGUAGUCCACGCCGUAAACGAUGAGUGCUAAGUGUUAGGGGGUUUCCGCCCCUUAGUGCUGCAGCUAACGCAUUAAGCACUCCGCCUGGGGAGUACGACCGCAAGGUUGAAACUCAAAGGAAUUGACGGGGACCCGCACAAGCGGUGGAGCAUGUGGUUUAAUUCGAAGCAACGCGAAGAACCUUACCAAAUCUUGACAUCCUUUGACAACUCUAGAGAUAGAGCUUUCCCCUUCGGGGGACAAAGUGACAGGUGGUGCAUGGUUGUCGUCAGCUCGUGUCGUGAGAUGUUGGGUUAAGUCCCGCAACGAGCGCAACCCUUAAGCUUAGUUGCCAUCAUUAAGUUGGGCACUCUAAGUUGACUGCCGGUGACAAACCGGAGGAAGGUGGGGAUGACGUCAAAUCAUCAUGCCCCUUAUGAUUUGGGCUACACACGUGCUACAAUGGACAAUACAAAGGGCAGCGAAACCGUGAGGUCAAGCAAAUCCCAUAAAGUUGUUCUCAGUUCGGAUUGUAGUCUGCAACUCGACUACAUGAAGCUGGAAUCGCUAGUAAUCGUAGAUCAGCAUGCUACGGUGAAUACGUUCCCGGGUCU
rnacentral:rRNA from 1 species